rnacentral:rRNA from 1 species
AUUGAACGCUGGCGGCAGGCCUAACACAUGCAAGUCGAGCGAGCGGCGGACGGGUGAGUAAUGUAUGGGGACUGCCCGAUAGAGGGGGAUAACUACUGGAAACGGUAGCUAAUACCGCAUACUAUCGGAUAACCCAGAUGGGAUUAGCUAGUAGGUGAGGUAAUGGCUGACCUAGGCGACGAGCCCUAGCUGGUCUGCGAGGAUGAUCAGCCACACUGGGACUGAGACACGUCCCAGACUCCUACGGAGGCAGCAGGGGGGAAUAUGGGACAAUGUGCGCAAGCCUGAUGCAGCCAUGCCGCUUGUAUGAAGAAGUCCCUAGGGUUGUAAAGUACUUGCAGUCGGGAGGCGUUACCGACAGAAGAAGCACCUGCUAACUCCGUGCCAGCAGCCGCGGUAAUAC